rnacentral:piRNA from 1 species
UAAUUUACACCGCAUUAUUAG